GACGAACGCUGGCGGCGUGCCUAAUACAUGCAAGUAGAACGCUGAAGGAGGAGCUUGCUUCUCUGGAUGAGUUGCGAACGGGUGAGUAACGCGUAGGUAACCUGCCUGGUAGCGGGGGAUAACUAUUGGAAACGAUAGCUAAUACCGCAUAAGAGUAGAUGUUGCAUGACAUUUGCUUAAAAGGUGCAAUUGCAUCACUACCAGAUGGACCUGCGUUGUAUUAGCUAGUUGGUGGGGUAACGGCUCACCAAGGCGACGAUACAUAGCCGACCUGAGAGGGUGAUCGCCACACUGGGACUGAGACACGGCCCAGACUCCUACGGGAGGCAGCAGUAGGGAAUCUUCGGCAAUGGACGAAAGUCUGACCGAGCAACGCCGCGUGAGUGAAGAUAGGUUUUCGGAUCGUAAAGCUCUGUUGUAAGAGAAGAACGAGUGUGAGAGUGGAAAGUUCACA
rnacentral:rRNA from 1 species